rnacentral:misc_RNA from 1 species
AACGCACGAGACCUGCGGACCUGCGGAGGGAUCAUUAGUGAACGCCCUCACGGGCUUAUAACUAUUCCAAACCUCUGUGAACCGUGCCCUUCGGGGCUAUUUUACGAACAUGGUGUAAUGAACGUCAUAUAUCAUAACAAAACAAAACUUUUAGCAAUGGAUCUCU